UUCGAUUCUGGCUCAGACGAACGCUGGCGGCGCGUCUUAAGCAUGCAAGUCGAACGGCAAGAGGUAGCAAUACCUCCUAGAGUGGCGGACUGGUGAGUAACACGUGGGUGACAUACCCUUCAGAUGGGGAUAGCUAUUAGAAAUAGUAGAUAAUACCGAAUACGAGCACAGGGGUUAGAGAUCUGUGAGGAAAGGAGCUAAGGCUCCGCUGAAGGAAUGGCCUGCGGCCCAUUAGCUAGUUGGUGAGGUAAGAGCCCACCAAGGCGAUGAUGGGUAUCCGGCCUUAGAGGGUGAACGGACACAUUGGGACUGAGAUACGGCCCAGACUCCUACGGGAGGCAGCAGCUAAGAAUAUUCCGCAAUGGACGAAAGUCUGACGGAGCGACGCCGCGUGGAUGAAGAAGGCCGGAAGGUUGUAAAAUCCUUUUGAAACUGAAGAAUAAGCGUUGUAGGGAAUGACAGCGUGGUGACAGUAGGUUUUGAAUAAGCAACGGCUAAUUACGUGCCAGCCGCCGC
rnacentral:rRNA from 1 species